UUUUUUUUUAACCUAACCGCUACCGCCCGCAACCGCAAACGCUUGCGGGAAGGAGCUUUUGAAAACUGGCGAUUUCGAGCGGUUUAAAGCGAUAUCUAGCGGUUUCUAUGAUUGAUGUUAAUCGCUAACAACCGCUACCAACCGCAAACGCUGCGUUUGCGGGUGGUAGAGGGAGAACCAAUCAAGACCUAACUCUCUCCCACAACUUGACACAUCAGCACAUGAGAGCUUGCCACCUAGACUUCAUAAAAUAAGUAAUACAUAAUUAGUAAUUAAUUCAACAUAACAACUAAAAUAGGAGAAUAUAAUUAAUGAAAACUUGAACCAUCACUCUUUCUACAUUUUUUAAUUCAAUAUAUCCUCUUUAAUUUUGAGAUCCACUUAAGUGGUUAAAGUGGUGAUAAAAUCCAAACAUGUUACACAUAUUCCUGGCCUAAAAAUUAAAAAUUAGACGAUUAUUAUGAAAAAAACUAAAUGAAUAUGCAGAUUGAAUAUAUCUAAGCUUUUCGAGAUUUAUGUUAAGAAAACAAGUAAUUAGAAAGAUAUUUGAGGAGCUAUCCUUAUAACUAAUACGUAAGAUAUAAGAUUAUGACAAAAACUUAACUAAACUUUCCAAGAACAUAAAAUUGAAUAUGCUUAGAUUGAAUAUGAAGAGACAUGAUUAAUAAAGACAAGUUAUAUUUUUAGUGUAAGAAAUAAAUUUUCUAAAAUUUCACCGUCUCACAAUCUAUACAUAUAACUAAAAAAGCAAGGACAUAUAAAUUCAAAAAAAAAACUGAGAAUCUAAAACAACAAUAAAAAACAACUCAAGCACAUUCGUUUUUCAGAUGAACUAAUACAGUUGGGUUUUUCUAAAACAAUUACAAAUCAUAUUUAUGUUUCAAAACCUAUGCAUUCAACUUUACUUUAUAUGAACAGACAUUAUAUAAAACAAUUUGUAAAUAGUAAUACGUAAACAAAUGUAGCGUUUCUUGGAUGAGGGAAAAUGUUGAAAAAAUUGAAAGUAUU
rnacentral:sRNA from 1 species